CCUACGGGAGGCAGCAGUGGGGAAUUUUGGACAAUGGGCGCAAGCCUGAUCCAGCCAUGCCGCGUGCGGGAAGAAGGCCUUCGGGUUGUAAACCGCUUUUGUCAGGGAAGAAACGGCUUUGGUUAAUACCUAGAGCUAAUGACGGUACCUGAAGAAUAAGCACCGGCUAACUACGUGCCAGCAGCCGCGGUAAUACGUAGGGUGCAAGCGUUAAUCGGAAUUACUGGGCGUAAAGCGUGCGCAGGCGGUUAUGCAAGACAGAGGUGAAAUCCCCGGGCUCAACCUGGGAACUGCCUUUGUGACUGCAUAGCUAGAGUGCGGCAGAGGGGGAUGGAAUUCCGCGUGUAGCAGUGAAAUGCGUAGAUAUGCGGAGGAACACCGAUGGCGAAGGCAAUCCCCUGGGCCUGCACUGACGCUCAUGCACGAAAGCGUGGGGAGCA
rnacentral:rRNA from 1 species